rnacentral:rRNA from 1 species
GCAGGCCGUGCUGCGCGGCUGGAUCGCCCACCCCCCGCGUGGGUAGCUACCCUGGAGUAGCUACCCUGUAGCGGGAGCGGCCCGCCCCGCGGCGCGCCAAACAGGCCUGCCGAAGGACCCCUAAACUCUGUUUUGCACCUGUAUCUCUGAGUUUAUUAUACAAAUAAGUUAAAACUUUCAACAACGGAUCUCUUGGUUCUGGCAUCGAUGAAGAACGCAGCGAAAUGCGAUAAGUAAUGUGAAUUGCAGAAUUCAGUGAAUCAUCGAAUCUUUGAACGCACAUUGCGCCUAAUAGUAUUCUGUUAGGCAUGCCUGUUCGAGCGUCAUUUCAACCCCCAAGCCCUAUUUGCUUGACGUUGGGAGUUUACGGAGACGUAAUUCCUCAAAUAUAGUGGCGGAGCUAGGUCGUGCUCUAAGCGUAGUAACCAAAUUCUCGCUUCUGAAGCCGGCCCGGGUCCUGCCGUAAAACCCCCUAUAUUUUUCUGGUUGACCUCGGAUCAGGUAGGAAUACCCGCUGAACUUAAGCAUAUCAAUAAGCGGAGGAAAAGAAACCAACAGGGAUUGCCCUAGUAACGGCGAGUGAAGCGGCAACAGCUCAAAUUUGAAAUCUGGCCUUCGGGUCCGAGUUGUAAUUUGCAGAGGAUGCUUUUGGCGCGGUGCCUUCCGAGUUCCCUGGAACGGGACGCCUUAGAGGGUGAGAGCCCCGUACGGUUGGACACCAAGCCUCUGUAAAGCUCCUUCGACGAGUCGAGUAGUUUGGGAAUGCUGCUCUAAAUGGGAGGUAAAUUUCUUCUAAAGCUAAAUACCGGCCAGAGACCGAUAGCGCACAAGUAGAGUGAUCGAAAGAUGAAAAGCACUUUGAAAAGAGGGUUAAAUAGCACGUGAAAUUGUUGAAAGGGAAGCGUUUACGGCCAGACCUUUUCCUGGCGGAUCAUCUGGUGUUCUCACCAGUGCACUUCGCCAGGUUUAGGCCAGCAUCGGCUUCUGUAGGGGGAUAAAAGCAGUGGG